AGAGACAGCAGCAGCCGCGGUAACACGUAGGUCCCGAGCGUUGUCCGGAUUUAUUGGGCGUAAAGCGAGCGCAGGCGGUUAGAUAAGUCUGAAGUUAAAGGCUGUGGCUUAACCAUAGUACGCUUUGGAAACUGUUUAACUUGAGUGCAAGAGGGGAGAGUGGAAUUCCAUGUGUAGCGGUGAAAUGCGUAGAUAUCGGAAGGAACGCCUGUGGCGAAAGCGGCUCACUGGACCAUUUCUGACGCUGAUGCACGAAAGCUAGGGGAGCAAACAGGAUUAGAUACCCCAGUAGUCCCUGUCUCUUAUACC
rnacentral:rRNA from 1 species